rnacentral:rRNA from 1 species
UACAGAGGUCCCAAGCGUUGUUCGGAUUCAUUGGGCGUAAAGGGUGUGUAGGCGGCGCCGUAAGUCAGGUGUGAAAUCUCGGGGCUUAACUCCGAAACUGCAUUUGAUACUGCGGUGCUUGAGGACUGGAGAGGAGACUGGAAUUUACGGUGUAGCGGUGAAAUGCGUAGAUAUCGUAAGGAAGACCAGUGGCGAAGGCGGGUCUCUGGACAGUUCCUGACGCUGAGACACGAAGGCCAGGGAGCAAACGGG